UCCAUUGUUUUUGACAAACACUUGCAGUGGAAUAAGGAUCACUUAUGACUGCAACCUUUGCUUUGUUAGGUGGUGGAGAAAUUUCCACAUAUUUGAGGUUACAAAGCUUUCAAACUGCCACCCACUUUGGAUGUUAAACCUCUUCUUAAAUCCCAGUUAGCGGUUGUUAUUUAUGAUUCUGAUGAGAAAUACAGGAAUUGUUCUGGUUUGCUUUCCCUAGACCUUAAACCCUAAAGUACAAAAAGUGGGAACGCUGUUACUAUGUUUAUGGAGUAUGUGUUUACCACCCUAGCACUUUGCAAGUUGAGAAAUGCUAUGCAAAUGAUCCAUAUGCUAGAGGACUUUCAUCAGAUGGAAGGCGGACUUUUCUGCUUAAUCUUGACACUGAGGACUUAAAAUCUGAUGGAUGGGAUAAUCUGGCUGAUGAGAAACCUGUUAUACAUUCUUUCUCUGGUAUAAGCAUAUAUGAAAUGCAUCUAAGGUAGUGUUUGUUUCCAGGGAUUUACUAUUCACGAGCAAGGAAAGACGAAGAAAAUUGUUGUUUGUUUCUGGUAAUUUGCAACGACGGAAAGGCGAAAAAAAGGUGAGAGAAGCGUGGUUCGCGUCCUCGCACAAAAGCGAAGAAAGAAGAAGAAAGUCACAAAGAGGAAAAAAUAAUUACAGUUAAGGCUUGCCCGGUCCUUAAUUGCUGACAGGGACUCAUUCCAACAUGUUAGCAUGACCAACAAUCAGGUAUCUUUACAAUAUUUACUAAUACUAUACUAAAAAGUAUGUGCUUUGACUGCAAGGUGCUUACAGUAGAAUUCAUGUCAUAAUCAUCACUACAAUAUGUAGAAGAGAAUGAGAGACUCAGAGCUAUUUUAGGAGAAUGGAGCACCCGAGCUGCCAAGUUAUUAUUCAAUAAUAGUAAUAUAUGCGAACAGCUACCAAUCUACCAUGUGUUAAAAUAUACUUGGGUUGGAUUUUGCCGUAUAAGUAUGUUCUGCUGAAACCUUUUAUCAUGAUAUGAUUAAAGCUUGAACGAGCACUGGAGGUUGAGAAGAUGACAACGUUUGAAUUACAAAGGAAGCUUUCAACGCUAAGAAGUCAAUCGAAUACCUCAGCAGAAGCAACUGAACAUGGAGCUUAAUUCACUAGUAGGGGCAGUCCCAGUUCAUGUCGAGCAUUUAACCUUGUUCUCACCAUUUUAAAGAACACGUAGACGUGUCUACGGUACCUUCACUGUUGUAG